ACUAAGCUGCUGUUAUGAACCCUGACUUACAGGUGUUAUGAAUUUUGAUGUAUAGGUAAUACAGAUCCCUGGCAUACAGGUGUUAUGGACACUGGUGUACAGGUGUUAUAAACCUUGACAUACAGGUGUUAUGAACACUGGCGUACAGGUGUUAUGGACACUGGCGUACAGGUGUUAUGGACACUGGCAUACAGGUGUUAUGAAUUUUGACGUAUAGGUAAUACAGUCCCUGGCGUACAGGUGUUAUGAACCCUGACGUUCAGGUGUUGUGAAUUUUGACGUAUAGGUAAUACAGACCCUGGUGUACAGGUGUUGUGGACACUGCCGUACAGGUGUUGUGGACACUGCCGUACAGGUGUUGUGGACACUGCCGUACAGGUGUUGUGGACACUGCCGUACAGGUGUUGUGGACACUGGCGUACAGGUGUUGUGGACACUGGCGUACAGGUGUUGUGGACACUGGCGUACAGGUGUUGUGGACACUGGCGUACAGGUGUUGUGGACACUGGCGUACAGGUGUUGUGGACACUGGCGUACAGGUGUUGUGGACACUGGCGUACAGGUGUUGUGGACACUGGCGUACAGGUGUUAUUGACGUUAAUGUACAGGUGUUAUGGACACUGGUGUACAGGUGUUAUGGACCCAGUGCAUCUCAGUAGAUACGUUUGCAUUGGUUGCUCCAACAUUGGUACGUGGGUCAGUUAUAAGGCUUUCUAGAACACUUACCAUCCCAGAGCCACUCUGUGUCCAAUCUAGGAACACUCAGACAGUCCUGGAUUUGUAUCCUUAGAUUCAUCUAGUCUCUAGUCUCUAGUUCAUCUAGACUCCCCAAAGCCAGCACCAUGGGUGUUGAGUUUUAAACUGGCCUUAAAUCUCCUGUAGAUCUGUGUUAUAUUCAGCUUCAGGAGACCUGUUUCUUGGCUGAUUCUGCAUGUCGAAUCAGUGGCGAAGCUCGUUGGGGAGAAAGAGAAUCUGGUUGGCUAUUUAGAUUA